AGCGAACGCUGGCGGCAGGCCUAACACAUGCAAGUCGAGCGGCCGUAGCAAUACGGCAGCGGCAGACGGGAGAGUAACACGUGGGAACGCGCCCUUCGGUUCGGGAUAACCCAGGGAAACUUGGGCUAAUACCGGAUACGCCCUUACGGGGAAAGAUUUAUUGCCGAAGGAACGGCCCGCGUCCGAUUAGCUAGUUAGUGAGGUAAUGGCUCACCAAGGCGACGAUCGGUAGCUGGUCUGAGAGGAUGACCAGCCUCACUGGGACUGAGACACGGCCCAGACUCCUACGGGAGGCAGCAGUGGGGAAUAUUGGACAAUGGGCGCAAGCCUGAUCCGGCCAUGCCGCGUGGGUGAUGGAGGCCCUAGGGUUGUAAAGCCCUUUCAGCGGGGAAGAUAAUGACGGUACCCGCAGAAGAAGCCCCGGCUAACUUUGUGCCAGCCGCCGCGGUAA
rnacentral:rRNA from 1 species